ACAUACGAUACAAAGAAGUAUUGACACUUUGACCUGAUGUCUGUUGAAGAAACUCAGUGUCUGAGC